rnacentral:rRNA from 1 species
GACAGAGGGUGCAAACGUUGUUCGGAAUUACUGGGCGUAAAGCGCGUGUAGGCGGCUAUGUAAGUCGGGCGUGAAAUCCCACGGCUCAACCGUGGAAGUGCACCCGAAACUGCGUAGCUAGAGUCCUGGAGAGGAAGGUGGAAUGCUUGGUGUAGAGGUGAAAUUCGUAGAUAUCAAGCGGAACACCGAUGGCGAAGGCAGCCACUGGA